rnacentral:rRNA from 1 species
UACGUAGGGUCCGAGCGUUGUCCGGAAUUAUUGGGCGUAAAGGGCUCGUAGGCGGUUUGUCACGUCGGGCGUGAAAACUCAGGGCUCAACCCUGAGCGUGCGUUCGAUACGGGCAGACUAGAGGUAUGCAGGGGAGAACGGAAUUCCUGGUGUAGCGGUGGAAUGCGCAGAUAUCAGGAGGAACACCGGUGGCGAAGGCGGUUCUCUGGGCAUUACCUGACGCUGAGGAGCGAAAGCAUGGGGAGCGAACAGGA